AGUCAAGUAAUUAAGUGCAUGUGGUGGAUGCCUUGGCAGUCAGAGGCGAUGAAAGACGUGAUAGCCUGCGAAAAGCUCCGGGGAGGCGGCAAAUAUCCUUUGAUCCGGAGAUGUCUGAAUGGGGGAACCCACCUACUUUAAGGUAGGUAUUGCAACAUGAAUACAUAGUGUUGCAAGGCGAACGAGGGGAAGUGAAACAUCUCAGUACCCUUAGGAAAAGAAAUCAAUUGAGAUUCCCUCAGUAGCGGCGAGCGAACGGGGAUCAGCCCAUUAAGUUAUGUGUGUUUUAGUGGAACGCUCUGGGAAGUGCGAACGUAGAGGGUGAUAUUCCCGUACACGAAAGGGCACACAUAAUGAUGACGAGUAGGGCGAGGCACGUGAAACCUUGUCUGAAUAUGGGGGGACCAUCCUCCAAGGCUAAAUACUCCUGACUGACCGAUAGUGAACCAGUACCGUGAGGGAAAGGCGAAAAGAACCCCUGUGAGGGGAGUGAAAUAGAUCCUGAAACCGCAUGCAUACAAGCAGUGGGAGCACCUUCGUGGUGUGACUGCGUACCUUUUGUAUAAUGGGUCAGCGACUUAUAUUCAGUAGCGAGGUUAACCGUAUAGGGGAGCCGUAGAGAAAUCGAGUCUUAAUAGGGCGUUUAGUUGCUGGGUAUAGACCCGAAACCAGGCGAUCUAUCCAUGAGCAGGUUGAAGGUUGGGUAACACUAACUGGAGGACCGAACCCACUGUCGUUGAAAAGCCAGGGGAUGACUUGUGGAUAGGGGUGAAAGGCUAAUCAAGCCUGGUGAUAGCUGGUUCUCCCCGAAAGCUAUUUAGGUAGCGCCUCGGACGAAUACCAUAGGGGGUAGAGCACUGUUUCGGCUAGGGGGUCAUCCCGACUUACCAAACCGAUGCAAACUCCGAAUACCUAUGAGUACUAUCCGGGAGACAGACUGCGGGUGCUAACGUCCGUAGUCAAGAGGAAAACAAUCCAGACCGCCAGCUAAGGCCCCAAAAUCAUAGUUAAGUGGGAAACGAUGUGGGAAGGCAUAGACAGCUAGGAGGUUGGCUUAGAAGCAGCCACCCUUUAAAGAAAGCGUAAUAGCUCACUAGUCGAGUCGGCCUGCGCGGAAGAUGUAACGGGGCUAAAACUAUGUGCCGAAGCUGCGGAUGUAUACUUUGUAUACGUGGUAGGGGAGCGUUCUGUAAGCCGAUGAAGGUGUGUUGAGAAGCAUGCUGGAGGUAUCAGAAGUGCGAAUGCUGACGUGAGUAACGACAAAACGGGUGAAAAACCCGUUCGCCGAAAGACCAAGGGUUCCAGUCCAACGUUAAUCGGGGCUGGGUGAGUCGACCCCUAAGGCGAGGCCGAAAGGCGUAGUCGAUGGGAAAAUGGUUAAUAUUCCAUUACUUCUGUGUAAUGCGAUGAGAGGACGGAGAAGGCUAAAUCAGCCUGGCGUUGGUUGUCCAGGUGAAAGGAUGUAGGCAUGUAUCUUAGGCAAAUCCGGGGUACUCUAUGCUGAGAUCUGAUAGCAAGCUGUACUUGUACAGCGAAGUGGUUGAUGCCAUGCUUCCAGGAAAAGUCUCUAAGCUUCAGUUACACAGGAAUCGUACCCGAAACCGACACAGGUGGUCAGGUCGAGUAGACCAAGGCGCUUGAGAGAACUCUGCUGAAGGAACUAGGCAAAAUGGUACCGUAACUUCGGGAGAAGGUACGCUGUUGUUGGUGAUGGAACUCGCUUCCUGAGCUGACGACAGCCGCAGAAACCAGGCCGCUGCAACUGUUUAUUAAAAACAUAGCACUCUGCAAACACGAAAGUGGACGUAUAGGGUGUGAUGCCUGCCCGGUGCUGGAAGGUUAAUUGAUGGGGUUAGCGUAAGCGAAGCUCUUGAUCGAAGCCCCAGUAAACGGCGGCCGUAACUAUAACGGUCCUAAGGUAGCGAAAUUCCUUGUCGGGUAAGUUCCGACCUGCACGAAUGGCAUAAUGAUGGCGGCGCUGUCUCCAGCAGAGGCUCAGUGAAAUCGAAAUCGCUGUGAAGAUGCAGUGUACCCGCGGCUAGACGGAAAGACCCCGUGAACCUUUACUGCAGCUUGACACUGAACUUUGACCUUACUUGUGUAGGAUAGGUGGGAGGCUUUGAAGCUGGAACGCUAGUUCCAGUGGAGCCGUCCUUGAAAUACCACCCUGGUAAUGUUGAGGUUCUAACUCUGUCCCGUGAUCCGGGACGAGGACCGUGUCUGGUGGGUAGUUUGACUGGGGCGGUCUCCUCCUAAAGAGUAACGGAGGAGUACGAAGGUGCGCUCAGCGUGGUCGGAAAUCACGCGUAGAGUAUAAAGGCAAAAGCGCGCUUAACUGCGAGACCCACAAGUCGAGCAGGUACGAAAGUAGGUCUUAGUGAUCCGGUGGUUCUGUAUGGAAGGGCCAUCGCUCAACGGAUAAAAGGUACUCUGGGGAUAACAGGCUGAUACCGCCCAAGAGUUCAUAUCGACGGCGGUGUUUGGCACCUCGAUGUCGGCUCAUCUCAUCCUGGGGCUGAAGCAGGUCCCAAGGGUAUGGCUGUUCGCCAUUUAAAGAGGUACGCGAGCUGGGUUUAGAACGUCGUGAGACAGUUCGGUCCCUAUCUACCGUGGGCGCUGGAAAUUUGAGAGGAUCUGCUCCUAGUACGAGAGGACCAG
rnacentral:rRNA from 1 species